CUAAGGUCUCAGGCUGUUAGUAAGAGGACUGUUCCUUCACUGCCUGCAGGAAUAUGCCAAAGUAAUGUCUACAAGUACUACUGGAAAGUGGAUGUUCAUAUCAUUGGAACGAUAUUAACAGCAUCUGCGUGAGCAGAGGCUUAUCAGAAACAAGGUGUUAAUUAGGAGCUGUGGAUACCAAUCUGGCAUCUGAAGCAACACACCAAGGCACACAGAGUAAUUUUUAUCUAGAUACUGAGGCCUUGGCCACACUUACAGAUGUACAGCGCUGUGAGUUAAGCCCGCCUUUAUACAGACCAUCUAACAAUUGAAGGCAAGUGCAAACAGAAAAGAAAAUACGCAGAUGAAAAUCUAUGCUUCCAACAGGAGUGGCAGAAUAAGUACUUUUUCGUUGAAUGUAAGACCAUGUGUCUUCUUUGCUAGAUGUGUAUCUAUCAGUUAAAAUCUUCAAACUUGCAGCAUCAUUUCACUUCAAGCCAUGCACAUAUGGAUCAAGAAUUCCCACAAGGUUCUAAACUCCGCACUUCAAAACUGAAAACUUUGAAAAAAUAAACAGAUGUAGAAGCCCAGUUCUUCACCAGAUUUGCCAACCAAUCGCAGACUGUAAUGUUAGCCUCCUAGGAUGUGGCCUGGCACGUAGCCUCUGCGAAAAAGCCCUACUCUGAAGGCAACGUUGUAAAAACGUGCCUCACUGAUGUGAUUUGAGUCCUGUCACCAGAGAACAAGAAUCUACAGUAGAAAAUUUCUGGCCUGCGGCUUUCACGCCACACAAUAGAAAGCAGAAUCUCCGACCUGAACGGUGACAUUGCAUCGCAACUGCACUUGCAGCUUCAACAGUAUGAGUAUUUGAGCAUCACUUUGGAUGAGUCGUGCCAUGCACAGGAUAAACCUCAAUUAUCUGUAUUUGUCCACACUGUGUCUGACGACUGUAUGUGUAAGGGAAGAAUGCCUCGCUAUCGUGUCACUAAAGUACAGAACUCGUGGAUGAGAUCUAAAGGAGGUGUUGAUGUUGGUAGUUGCGAAAAGCCACUUGCCUUUACAGAAGCUCACUGCCAUUGCAACAGAUGGGGCUCCGUCCAUGUGGGGAUCUGCGAAUGGAUUAGUAGGGCUUUGUACAUCUGACGAGAGCUUUCCUGAAUUUUGGACAUUUCAUUGUAUUAUUCAUCAGGAGCAACUGGUAUCUAAAAAUCUCAAAAUCUGAUCAUGUCAUGAAACCUGUGUUCCACAUUGUGAAUUUCAUUCUCUCAAAUGCACUCAAUCACAGACAAUUUCAAAAUCUAAUUGAAGAACUGGUCGAAGAUGACUCCCCUGACAAUUUGCCAUUUCACUGCGCAGUUCAAUGGCUCUUGAGAGGUAAAGUUAUUUCCCAUUUUUUCGAGUUCCUGAAACCAGUGCAAUUGUUCAUGGAGGAGAAGCACAGAAUAUACCCUGAGCUUACAGAUCCUGGGUGGGUUCUAGACUUGGCAUUUCUUUCAGACAUGCUGCUGCAUUUGGAUAAACUAAAUGUGGACUUGCAAGGAAAAUUCUGGUUGCUGUCUGAUCUAGUGCAAGGCGUAUUUGUGUUCAUGAAUACACUGCAGUAGUUUCACAGACAAAUGCUUGAGGGAGAACUGACACACUUUCCCUCAAUGUCACAACUUCAAGCCAGAUCAAAAGAGAAUGCAGCAGAACUCCUAAAACGGAGCACAGCUAGAUAUACGAGUGUGAUUAAAGAUCUUAAGGACAGUUUUGAGGAAAUAUUCCAAGAUUUGCCGCAGAAAAGACCUCAAAUCAGAUUUCUGAUUGACCCAUUUAGUGCUGUAGCCGAUUAUCUGAAGCCCCCUUUAAUUGCUGAGGAAGCAACAUCCCAGGUGGAAAUAAUAGAACUUUUGGAAGAUGACAGAUUGAAAUCUGUUCAGAAGACAGAGGGGACCCUUACUUUUUGGAAAUCUGUACCAAAGGAUAAAUACCCCAACAUCAGAGGUGCAGCCCUAAAAUUAAUCUCAAUGUUUGCCUCGACCUAUCUUUGUGAGUCUCCUUUCUCAACACCCCAACAUGCGAAAUCCAAGCACCGAUCCAUUUUGACAAACAGCCACUUAAGUGAACUGCUGUGUGUGGGUACAACUGAACACAAACCAAACUUCAAGGGAAUUGUUGCAAGCAAAGAUUGCCAGAAGUCCCACUAAGUAAAAGAUUAAGUUGUUAUUAUCAUUAACUGUAUAUUAUAAAUGUAUAAUAAAUAUACAUUAUCAACUUAUACAAUGAUUAUGUGUGGGUAUAUAUAUAUAUAUACACACACAUAUACAUAUAUGUAUAUAAUCAUUACAUAUUACUGUGGCUCUUUGGCAAUAUACAAUAUACAUUGGUAAAUUCUGGCUCCACCCCUGAAUUAGAUUAUUCUACAGCCUAAUAGAUCCCACUACCCAGAGCUUUCCCCAUUAUUCAGUAUUUUUCCCUUUCUUAAUUUUACCCCAUUAUUCUUAGUUAUGCUCUUUGUACCAUCUUAAGCAGUUCCUCUCCAUAGCCUCAUCUCCACUCUGUGAUCCACUCUCAGAGGGAUCUUCUCCUUAGUCACCCCCAUCAUGGACACGCUGGUGUCCCUCCUCCCCCACCCCCAAUGCUUCGCUGGUCUUGG